AUGGCGGAGAUCGUGCACCAGCUGUGCCAAAGGAUGGGAUGGUGUUCUACCCCUCCGUGUCCUCAAAAUGUGCCAAUGGAUGACAUUCUCCAGAUUAACAAGUUCAUUUGUGCUGCUGCUCUUACGAUGUCUCGGGGCAUUGGGGUGGGCAAGAUGAAGGUGCUCAGCGGUUGCUGCAAGCGCUGUGAGGCCGGGCGGUGGAGGCGUAUGCAUGGGCCACAGUUCAGUUCUUUUGAAAGGAGCUCUUCCUCCGCCUCUGCCUGGGCGCGAUCUGCACUGUCAGUGCCAAAUCUUGCUCAUGGAGGGAUCAUAUAUAGCCAGACACUUAUAGUAGAUGAAGCUCACCGUUCGUAUCAUGAGAAUGUGGGAACACUCUAA
rnacentral:rRNA from 1 species